AACCGAGUUAUGUGCCACCUAGUGACGC
rnacentral:sRNA from 1 species